AGCUGAGGGGACCCACCAUAUGAUUGCGUAUGGAAGUUGGAGCCCCCUCUUCAUCAUGGAAUUUGGGGCAUCCCUGGUCUCCUGGUGGCUGUGGACUUGCAAAUACCCAGUUGUCCACAGACCUGUUGGCAAAUGGAUGUCCCAAGCGAGGGAGAUAUGCCUGGUGGGAAGGAGGAGUCCUGUGAAGAAUAGAGCCAGCUAAACACAGCAGAGAAGCAACAGAUGACAAAAAGCAACUGUCCAGAAGGCUGGCAGAACUGGGUUUGGGCCCAUGCUACGCAAUCCAGACAUGCCUGUAGCAUCCUUUGAAGGGACUCAAGUCUGUAG
rnacentral:lncRNA from 1 species